GCGUUGUCCGGAUUUAUUGGGCGUAAAGAGCGUGUAGGCGGCCUGGUAAGUCCGCUGUGAAAGUCCAGGGCUCAACCCUGGAAUGCCGGUGGAAACUGUCAGGCUCGAGUCCGGAAGAGGCGAGUGGAAUUCCUGGUGUAGCGGUGAAAUGCGCAGAUAUCAGGAGGAACACCAAUGGCGAAGUCAGCUCGCUGGGACGGUACUGACGCUGAGACGCGAAAGCGUGGGGAGCAAACAGG
rnacentral:rRNA from 1 species